rnacentral:hammerhead_ribozyme from 2 species
AGGCGAAACCGCCCUUCGGGGCGGUCGGUCGGGCGUGGUGUCCCGCCCCUGAUGAGCCAGCCGCUC